GGAGCCUACGUGCUUACCACACUAGACUGAAUAAGAAAUAGGCCACCACCGCAAAGAGUAACACACACACACACAGACACACAGAGACCGACUUGUUCCUUCCUUCACCUCCCACUGCCGCUUUCUAGCGGCGUGGAAUCGACGAAUUGCCGCGGGCACAACAACGUCAGCUACAGAGGGAGAGACUAACUGCGGAGGUGACACCACGUGGUGUUGUCGCAUCCGCACCAGUCACCUCGUGCGUCCCCGGCGGUGUCUCUCGCUCUGUCUAUGUUUGGUUUCUGUCGUUGUUGUGUGCUUUUCGCCGCUUUGUGUUUCUUCUUGCUCCAGGGCGUUGGUGGGGUCGUAUACGUGGCGGCGUUUUUUUUUUCGCUGCCGACGAAUCAGAGAAACCGAGCCCGUUCGCACCUUGUUUCUCCCUCUCCCUCCCACAAGCGCCCACCCCCUCCGCCGCCGCCGUCCCACGUGGCACCCCACAAUCGCUUCCUUCUUGCGGGCGCUGCGUCUACAUGGCGUCCGUACAGCGGCAGACCAAAGAAGUGCAGGAGCGAAAUCAACGACAGCUACUAGAGCUGCUGAAGCAGCCCGCCAAUGAUGAGUGUAUGGACUGCAGCGCGCGUCACCCGACGUGGGCGAGCGUGAAUCUCGGCAUCUUCAUCUGCAUCCGCUGCAGCGGCCUGCAUCGUCAGCUGGGCGUGCAUAUCAGCAAGGUAAAAAGCUGCACGAUGGAUCUCUGGGAACCGGAGCAGAUCACCUUCAUGUCAAAGAUGGGCAACGAGCGCGCCAAGCGGGCCUACGAGGCCACCAUUCCGACCAGCUACGUCAAACCUGGGGAACGGGACACCUCAGCCAACGUAAUGAAGUGGAUUCGCCUUAAAUAUGUGCAGAGGCGGUACUACCGGCCACUUCCUCCGUCCGCAGCGGACUCCAGCGGCGGAGCUGCUGUGGAUGCGCAAAGCGACGCAGAGCGCGCCAAAGCACCUCGAGCUGGCGAAGACCUCCAACGUGCGCAACCUGCCACACCAACAAAGUCUGUCAGGGGCACGGUGCCGCUGACCUCGAACCCGGUCGCAGCGACUCGGACAGCAGCUGUGGCUUCCCUUGCUGCGCUCGACACCAACACGUCCCCUCGAGCCGCGCUCGACGCUUCGUAUCUGUCAAAGCAGAAGGAAGCGGCCAUUUUCGACUGGCUGCGCACAGCCACACCUUGUGUGGCGCUAGAGGCACCCCUGAACACGUCCGCACCGCCAGUGCAGCCGACAUUGGUCGCGAAGACCUCUCUCUCGAAUAGUGUUUCGUCUCCGACCGUCGUGGUGCGCGAGAUGCCGUCGCCGUCCACCUCCGUAACAGUCAUCGUUGCCACCGAAGUAGAUGGACCAGAGGCAGCGGCCCCGGCACUCGAAAACAUGCCGGGUGCAGCCGAAGAAAGCGGCGUGAAGGUCAGGCGUCGCCGCACGGCGAAGCGGACAAAACGGACGAAGAGGAUGGCGCCUCCUGUACCGCUCGAUGAGGUGCGUAAUUAUGCUGGUGAGCCAGUGCAUGCGCAGGUGUUUGCCCCAGAGGAUCGCGAUCGAGUUCGAACGGCGACACCGCCGCUGCUGCGAGAUCCCUCAGACGACGCUAAGCAGGAAACUACAGUGGUGCCAGUGACGGAAACAGGACCUCGCGAAGAGUCAAAGGCGUCAGAACGAUCACGUCGACAUCGGCGCAAGCGAGCGCCUCUAACGGAGGUGCUUGAGAGCAAUCCAGUCCCAUCAGAGCUGUCUUUCCCAGUGUUCUCGGCCUCGCGAGGCUCUUCUCCUCCCGCGCUCCCUUUGGCGCCGUCACUGACGUUGAGGACGGUUCUGGUGGAACCGUGCUGCUCGUCACAGUGUGCUUUAGACAGUGUAGCGCGCGUUUCUUAUCGGCACCGCAAGCAGCGUGGACAAGACCUAGAGAUGCUGCAAGAGUCGCCCGGGCGGCCAGCCACGCAACAGCUGCCCCCUCGCCUUGCGCACGGCCCCGCGUGCGCGUCUCCACGAGCAGCUCUCCGAGAAACGCCGCCGCUGUUGUCGGAGGAGCCGAUGUCGCCCACCACCUCCAGUGCCAUAGCGCUUGCGCGGCUCACUUCGGUUGAGGAGCGCGCACAUUUCGUACCCUGUGUCGUGGAUGCAACGCCCGUGCCUUCUGCCGCGGCAAUGAACUCGUCCUCCGCUUCGCGUCGGUCGUCACUGACGGGCGCGGCUACUCCGACUUCCAUGCGCGCGCCUUUCAUGCGGCCCACCGCAGCAGCAGCGGUGCGCUCGCGGCACGGGGCAUGGCAGACACAUCGGCCGAAGCAGGUCUUGGGCAAGCCGUAUUAUCUCUGCAGCUCGCGCCGAGCACUCCUGUCGCCGCCAGCGCCGGAUGAGGACAAGUAUGUACCGCCUCAGGGGAUCCGCUCAUCUGAGCCCUCCUUCUCUGAUGCGCUGCAAGCUCAUCCGCCACCGUCUGUGAGGUGGACGGCAACACCUUCAAACGCAUCCUUUACCCGCCUUCGAGGCUCACUUUUGUCGCCAAUAGCUGAGGAGGGCAGCGCGGCGCAGCGGGCACCGUCAACGCAGUUCUAUGCGUCAUCCACACACAAAACAGGGACCUUGAGCAACGUGCUACAGAUGCAUCGACGCCUGGAGGAGCAGCUGCGUUUGCUGAAGGAGCGAUUCCGGCAGAAAUCCCAUCCCAACUAGGCGGGAUCGAUAAAAGGAGAAUGAGCCACAACUGUCCAGUUUUUUGAUAUGGGAGAAGCCGUGGGAGAGGCGAGGUCGCAAUGGGGUACUGUGAGUGCUUCCGUCUGUUGUGGAGGGGCUAUCCUCAUGCCGCGUGUAUGGGAUGCCCUCGCAUGUUUCAGAGGGCGGACGCCCUCACGCUCGUUUCAUGUGCCUCCCUGUUCUUCUCGUCGUCGCGAUGCUGAAGAUGUCUGUGUGUGUGUGUGGGGGGGGGGGCACCACCGUUGCAUCGAAAGGAUGACUCUCUCUCUUUCUCUCUACGAGAUUUGCUGCCUGAGACGAAUUCUCUCUCUCUCUUGCUCAUCUUUUUCCGUUUUACGCGGGGGAAGGGGGAGGGAGAGGAGAUGCUUCUCGUCGCUCAUCAUCUUUUCCGGCACAUGUGUUUCGUUGGUUGCGGAGUGCGACGGCUCUCUGCUGAACAACACAUUGAUAUAUAUAUAUAUAUACAUAUGCUUGCAUAAAUAUAUAUAUAUGUGUGGACGAGACGUACACAACAGCCAAAGCGAUGUAUUGUAAGAGACGCCCUCCGUGAGGUAGGCUGAUGCAUUUUGAUGUGGAGGGGGGGUGCGUUGCAACUCCGUAGUCAAGUGCUGCUGUUACCAUGAGUGGCUCUGCAAUGGAAACCACCCGUUUAGGAUGCGGUGGCGGCGCUGUAUCACACGAGAAACGAAAAUUAGGUGCGGCGGACAAGGAAGAACUCCACAGUACACCGAAGCGUUUCUGAUGAAGCCUCCCCUUCUCAGUGUCGUGGAGACGUCCUUCACUGUUUUCCCGUUGUUUUUUUCUUAUGUUGCUUUUUCUCUCUGCUGGUAUUCGACCUGCUUGGCGACAUGGACGACUUUCUGCCCUCCCCCGUCUCCGCAG
rnacentral:misc_RNA from 1 species